AACCCGGAAAACCAAAGUUGUAUAGGUUCGUUGGUGAGCCCGUAAAACCAACAAGGUUUUUGGAUUGUGAGCCCGGAAAACAAUCCAACUGUAAUCCGUGAGAUUAUAGUGAAUUCCCAAGGGUACGCUUGGGGAGUGGACGUAGGUGCUAAGGAGAGCACCGAACCACUAUAUAUUGGUGUGUUUGCAUUGUGUUUGUGCUUUCAUGUUCCCUUGCUUUAUCUUCUAUUCUUGUAUUAGCUUAACUCACUCAAAUAACCUAAGAAAGCAUCCACCGCACUUAAUUACGAAAGUUUUUAAAAGCACUAAAAUUUAGAAGAAACCAAUUC
rnacentral:lncRNA from 1 species